rnacentral:rRNA from 1 species
GAUGAACGCUAGCUACAGGCUUAACACAUGCAAGUCGAGGGGCAGCACAGUGUAGCAAUACACGGGUGGCGACCGGCGCACGGGUGCGUAACGCGUAUCCAACCUUCCCGUUACUCUUGGAUAGCCUUCCGACAGGGAGAUUAAUACAAGAUGGUAUUCAAAUUCCGCAUGUUAUUUGAAUUAAAGAUUUAUCGGUAACGGAUGGGGAUGCGUGACAUUAGAUAGUAGGCGGGGUAAGGGCCCACCUAGUCUACGAUGUCUAGGGGUGCUGAGAGGAAGGUCCCCCACACUGGAACUGAGACACGGUCCAGACUCCUACGGGAGGCAGCAGUGAGGAAUAUUGGUCAAUGGUCGGAAGACUGAACCAGCCAAGUAGCGUGAAGGAUGAAGGUUCUAUGGAUUGUAAACUUCUUUUAUACGGGAAUAAAACCUCCAACGUGUGGGAGCUUGUAUGUACCGUAUGAAUAAGCAUCGGCUAACUCCGUGCCAGCCGCCGCCGUAAUAC